rnacentral:rRNA from 1 species
CCGGGCUAAAAGUCGGAGGAAGGUGGGGAUGACGUCAAAUCAUCAUGCCCCUUAUGACCUGGGCUACACACGUGCUACAAUGGGCGGUACAAAGGGUCGCGAACCCGCGAGGGGGAGCCAAUCCCAAAAAGCCGCUCUCAGUUCGGAUUGCAGGCUGCAACUCGCCUGCAUGAAGCCGGAAUCGCUAGUAAUCGCGGAUCAGCAUGCCGCGGUGAAUACGUUCCCGGGCCUU